GGGGGCGAUUCGGAUUCGACGCCGGUAUCAAUACCUGGGGUGCAUGCCGAGAGGGUAGUAACUCUCGUAAAUCAAUUACUGCAACUUUAUAGUUGCCAACGACGAUCGAUACGCUCUGGCGGCCUAAAUAGCCCGCUAGCGAUUGCCUCAGGGAUGCCUGUAAACCGGAGUUUUGCAAUCGUCAUAUAGAACAGGAUCGCGUGAUGGUCGUCUGGGGCCGGAACGUUAAACAUUUUCCAGGCUCGCCCUAAUCGCCCUGCCCGUCGGGUAGAAUUGGGCUAACUCAAUAGACGACGCUAAGCAUGUAGAUCUUCAGGCUGCGAACUGACGGACGGGAGUUCAAUUCUCCCCGCCUCCACCA
rnacentral:tmRNA from 1 species